UGGCCAGAGCAGCAAGCAGAAUACUACCGAAAAAAUAGAAUAGUUGUUCAUGAAAUCAAAUGCUUAGGGAGCAUAGCUUGUUUUCAAACUUCAGGGCAUACAUGUAUGCACGUUGCAGAGGCUGAAGGGUAGGGUUUGUUUCUUUGAGGAUACGGUAAAUUCAGAAAAUUAGAGGUGCAACAACUAAUUUUGCCAGCUCGCAAUCCACAAGUCAACAUGUACACGAGAGUUACCUGAAAACCCACAAAUGACCAUGCCCUCACGCAUGGCCUAAUACUACUCAACAAAUUGCGCAAAUCUCACCACCAAACUGUCCAUCCGGAAAAGGUAACUGUACAUAAGAUCCGAACCUCACCUAUGGAGCGCAGCUUCCUGAACUGUGUGGUGGCCUCAAGCUGCACAGUGGGGUCGUUGGAGUGAAUGGCCUUCUGCUGGAGUGCAGUGGAGUGGCCCAUCGGCGGUACGGCGUCAGCGGCGGGGAACCCAUCGCGGCGCUUCUUCUGGAGACGAGAGUGGGAACCGCUGCGACUGAGGAGAGUGAAACCCUAGCGUCGCUGGGCGACUGAAGUCGGGCCAGGCCGGUCAGGGAACCAACAAACUCGCGUUUCCUUUCAGCCAGGCCACAAAAUUGUUUUGGGCUCGCCUCAGCCAGGCUCCCGGACUGGGCCAGGCAACCAAACAUAUUCAUACUGUAUGAA
rnacentral:lncRNA from 1 species